UUUAGCUAACUCUUGCAAGCACAAAGAAACAGGCUGUCAUCGUUGCAAGAUAAAGGGUAAUCUAAAAGCGGCUUGUUUAUCUUCAUCAUCAAAAACAGGUCCUAGGAGACAUCAACGAGGUCAAAGAAAUUCAUUUGCUAAGGGUCAACAUAAAGUUAGCGUGCAGGGCGAGCACGAGAAGGUACCUCAAAGAGAUUCAGACAAAAACUGUUUUUCCGUCAUGUCAGGCAGGAGCAUGAUAAGGUAUUCAAAACAAUAAAGCAGCUCUGGCGUCUGACACUACAAUAGUGCACUACAAUCCUAACCGCCCACUGAUCCUCGAGAGAAAGAAGUCGAACCUGGGGUGCUGAAACCAGUACCCUUCGCCUCGAGAACAUUGUCAUUUCACGAAAAACAUGUGAUAGAAUCUCAAUCAAACUUCAACUUACAGGUACGUCUCGUUUAAUUUUCCAAUUUUCCUGUAAAGUUAGCUUGGUGUUUAUUUGCAAGAACUCGAACUUUAUGGUACUAUCCCCUCUUAAGUGGGGAGGAGUGUAGUAAAUCGGGCGAGAUUGGCACUAGUUCUAGUAAUUAUAGUUACGCAAUCUUGCAUAUCAAAUUAGUCUUAGUUCGGUAGCCAUAUUGUAUGCGUGUUUUGUUCACUGUCUUAAGAAAAAGGCUUAUAUAUUGCAGUGACAAGGCGAGAAACAGACGACGCAAUAACUAACAAAGAUCUACCAAUUCACUGUCUCUUAUCUGAUCGAGAAGACACGAGCAGAUCACAUGAGCUGUUGUCAGAAGAAAAGGGUUAUAAUUACUUAUCUAAUAAUUUUCUAUAUUAUCAUUUAUACACGAGUAGUUUGAGUUUGGAAUCUUGUAGUGUCAUAUCAACCGUCUCUAGAAUAAGCCACCCAUAAUAUAAUAAAACAGCAGAUUUGAGUUGGUUUGUAAGAUAGGAUUGGGCAGCGGAUUCCCUCCACAGAAGAGUCAACUGUGCAACUAAUCAGCGGUGUUACUAAGGUAACUUUCUCCUUAUCCUUUGAGGUUUGGUCUGUAAGAAUGUCAAAUUCUUUUUGAUCAACAGAACCAAUAGACAUUGGUGAGAUGCAAAAACUUUAAUUGCUAGAUAGGCUGAAAGCAGUUGUUAGCAGUGAUUAAAAAUCGAGGUCGAGGGGAGAAAUCGUA